rnacentral:misc_RNA from 1 species
UGUAGGAGCCGGCUUGCUGGCGAUGGUGUGUCAGCAACCUAUGCGUCGACUGACACACCAUCGCCAGCAAGCCGGCUCCUACA